UUUUUUUUUUUUUUUUCUUAUAAAAUCGGAUUUAAAUCAUUCCCCUUGUGAUUAAACUUUCAAAACAGGACUUUAUAGAGCACUGAAAAAACCUCCUCAGUCGAGAUUUACAGAACAAGACAUUGCCUGUGUUCUGUUGCCAAUACAAUAAACUUCCACAUGGUCAGAAAUCAUGUAAUUUUAUUGAGAAUGUAGUAGCAUCCACAUGCUUUAAUGGGCAUCUACCAGAUUUUAAUGGCAAUGCUUAUAAGCUGAAUGUAGUUUAGAGAAUAUUAUUAUUACAAAAUACACACACACAUGUAUAUAAAGGACUAUGUACAAUAAUAUUGCAAAACCAGAACUUUUUUCUCUCAUUGAAACAGUGAGUUGUGGCUUCUUUUCAUGGCUGGUGAAAAAUACAAGCAGGAGUGUGAGUCAUAUUAGGAGACUGAGAAACAGAAGCACUGUGAAACAGAUUCUUUUUCAGGCCACUCUCUCAUUGAUGGAAGAUCUGAGGCUGGUACUUGUUUAAAAGCUUACAUAAAACACCUGUGGGUCAAAACAUGCCCUGUAUUACAAGCCCAAAUCAGCUGGACUUUAUUUUGCUCUAUAGAAUCUUGGUAUAUUUUUCAACUGAUUUGAGGCCUCAUGGUCAGAAAAUACAGAGUUAUUAUAUAGUAUAAAUUAAAUCAAAAUUAAGUCUGAGAUGCUGAGUUUACCUUUAGAUCAUUCCCUCUCCUGCUACAGGCUUGAGAAAUGUUGUAUACAAUGACAGGGAGUCUUCCCUAACCGAGUCCCCCCUUGGGUGUAAGUGUGAUUCCUCAGAAAGCUAUUUAUAGAAAUAUGAUUUGUGGCAGAACAUCAGCUCCAGAUACUACACUUCAUAUUUCUUAGCAAAUAAUCUGAGAAAAUCCAUUAUUCUGUUUGCUGUAUUCUAGCAGUAUAACUAGAUGCACAUUCCUGUGUGAUAAUAAAAAUGCACAUUAAUAUUGGGUUGUCAGCAGUAUGCAAAAAGGUUACCUACAUCAUGAAAGAGAAAAAAGGUCAUCUUUCAUUUGCACAAGUGUAUUUUAAUUAAUCUGAUUAACUUGCAUAUCCUGUUGUUUCUGGCAAUAAUGAAGACUGAAUUGUGCCAAACAUAUACUAUGAAUCUGAUAGAGAGAGCUUUGGCAGCUUUGCAUUCAAUGAUUCACAGCAACAUGCUAAACCCUAACAACUGUUCCUUCUGUGAUGCUGUAGUGCAAACAAGAAAGAUAAAUUGGAAUUUAACUGGGCUGGAUAAAUGAGUCUAUUACCAAGGGUUUAGUUCACUGUCAUUCUGAGAUGACAGUUAGAUAAAAGAUCUGUACUUGGUAUUACAAAUAAGUCAUCAUUCCAGAAUUUUUCAAACAGACAUCCCUUUGGAAUUAUUAAUUUACUUAUUCCCAUUAUCUUGAUAUGUCUGGAUAACAUUCUACUGGCUGCAUUAUCAGCAGAAACACAAACGAACAAGUUGCCUUUAGGAGUCUAGUGCCAGGUCACAGAGAGCCAUAAAUCCACCCUUACAUUUUCCGUGCUUGUGUCACUUACCUUCCUCAGUUCCUUUCUUUGUGUGACUGGAAGGGUUGUCCAGGUAGAAUUCACAUGCUACAAUUGACAAAUCACAUAAGGAUGGCUUUGAAAAAUAGGUGCCACUGUGCCAUCACCAUCAUGAUAUGUAGCAAAGAUAUUUGGAAAAUGCUUCUUAUUCCCCUCAUUUUCAACAUGUCAGCAACUGUUAAGCAGUUUGUCUAUGACCAGUCAUGAAGGGUCCAUGCUUUGUAGGAAUUGCCUAUGACAGGUUUAUAUGUUAUCAGGGAUUAAAAGAAAUGUCUGAAUUUCUCCUCUGGAGGGAGCCUAAGUCCCGAGUCACGGGUUUGUUUGAUUUUUUUUCUUUAGUGAAACAGAGACCAAUCUCUCCAAUGAAUUAUCCAAUUACCAGAACAGUUUCCGGAAUCAGAAAGAAAAAAAAAUCCACUGUUAAACUGACUUGAGGCAGUGUUGGGUGACAGAUAUAUAUCAGCUGUUCGAUGUUCAAGACAGCAUCAAUAUACCCAUCUCUCCAUACCAUGGACAUUCACAGACCCAAAGCCAUGACCAAAGCUGAUGUGUGAGUAAAUACUUUUGACAGGUCCAAAAAAUUGCAUUGCAGAUCAGGAAAAUAUGUGCCAAUAGAGAAAGUUCUUCAGAUGGAAGCCAUUACCACCAAAUGCAGGCAUAAAACAUGUAGGUUUCCUUCAAGCAAUUGUUGUAAAAUCUCUGAGCACUUAUCACUAUAAAUAAGCUCUCAUCAUUUCUACGGCUUUAUACAAGUCUUUUAGAAGUCUUGGAUGGUCAUUUUAAUCAUUGCUAUAGAAAAUUUUCCAAAAGAGAAUUACAAUUUUAACUACUCAAUCCCCCAACAUCUUAUGCAUUAUCUUCUACAAUGUUUUCCAGGAAUGCUCUUUACAACCUUUCACCCUGAGCUGUCUUUCUGGACCCCAACAGGUAGCCAGGCCAACAUCUGAGUUGCAGGCACUGUGGCUGACCCUUAAACCUGUGCAUCAUUCUACAGCUGUAACAGAAAGCAGACUUGAAAUUCAUCUCCAAUGUGCUUUCCUGACUCACUAUAAACAAAUCAAUCACCUGCUUGCCUUUCUCCUGAAAUUACAGUCACCCCUGAAAGAAAAGGAAUCUGCAUACUUUAGAUCCUUUUUGGAGCAUAGCUUUAUUACCCUGACAAGAACAUACCAUUUCUGGCUGUCACUUAUUGCACAUUCAGCUGUAGAUGGGUUUCCUAAAGGUCAAGUUAUCUCAUCUGAAAGAAUAUCAGUAUGGAUUGAAGAGCAUGUAAGAGUGUAGCUGGCAUAGCUCUCCAGUGAGACAGCAAGGCUGACUGAAGCAGAAUUCAGAGGUCAUUUUCUUAUGGUGUCAAAAAUAUGCCAAAUCAGAAACCUGCAAAGCAGUGACAUGGUGUAAGUCAUUAAUCUUUACAGAAUGCUAGGAAUUGGAAUUAGGUGUGGGAUCAUGUGCCAGGUUCAGAAGAGCAUUAUAAUAAUUAGUAUUCAGCAGAAACCAUGAAUAGGACCUUCUCUCAUCUUUCUUUGUGAAUAUCUAUAACAGGACAUAUGCUCAAGUGUACCUGAAAAAAAAACUCUCUGCAGCAAGCAUGCUUCUUCAGUGCUCUAUAUUCCCCAAAUCUCUGCCUUUCCUUGCUUUUUGCAGAACUGCAAGGAUACAGGGAAAUCAAUCCAAGUUCUUACACAAGAGCAUAUGGAAGCUGAAUACACAUAUUCAACUGCAGUUAGCCAAAAGGAGGGUUUUAAAAAAAUCUUCAGCAAGUGCUGCCUGCAGGGCAGCAUCCUAGUGGCACUAGAAAGAGCAUCAUAUCAUUCUUAAAAGUUGCUUGAUACUUGAGCUUGGUUUCACUGACUUCACGCAUGAAAAGUAAACAAAAUCUCUGUAUACCACUGCUACCUUUGUGAUCUGAUAUGUAUCCUUGGAGAUUGGGAUGUACUGAUCAAAGAAUCAUUUAAGACCCAGAGACAAUCAGAGUUCAGCUCUAGUCUAUGCACAAGCUCUAGGUGAGGUUUGUCUACUUGAUACCACAAAUAAUUCUGAUCAUGCAACUCCCAUCAGUGGAAACUGAUGAGAGUGGUCUUUGUGAAGUGAAAGUGGAAAAGCCAUGCUGAAGAAGAAAGGUGCACAAAGAAUUUUGUGCUUUUGGUUCCCUCUACUGCUUUUUGAUGUUGUUCUGAAAAUUUCAGAGAACAUUCAGUAUAAAGCGUAAUUACAUUAUUCCUAUACAUAAUUGUGUACAACAUAUUUUCACCCCAACAUAUUUUUUUCUUGUGUUUCUUAUUCCAUGCAGUGAUUAAAAAAAUGUAGAACAAAUAGGAAAUGCUUGUUUCUUACUUUCUUUUUUUCCAGGAGUUCAGCAGUGAUUCAGUAGUAGAUUAGAAAACAAAAAAAGGGAAAAUGAUGUGUCUUGAGCAAGGGAUAAUGAGUUGUCACUGUCUGUGGUUCAACAGCAGUUGUACUAGAAAGCAAACCCUAAGACUGUUAUAACCCAGGAAAGGCUGCUUGGCAAGCGUAAUACAGUGAUAUUUGAAAUAACAUAUCAGAACAUUGUAUUUUAAGAAAAGAGUAAAACUGAAGUAAUUACUACUGUGUUACUAUAAGAAAAUGUAAGGAUGUUGGAUCAUACAGAACACAAACUCUCAUUUUAUCAGAGGUGAUGUAGAAACCUUAUCCAGAGGAAAAGCUUUCUGAGUAGCAGCUGGUGUCUAAGCUGCCUGUCCCCUCACAGAUUUUCCUGCUGAAUUGCUGGAACCUUAUUGAUGGAAUUGCCCCUAAACCUGAUUUAAUUCAGGGAAAUGAAAAGGGAAUGUUGGCAAGUUUAGUGUUGUACAGAUGAGUAUGACCCAGAGGUCAGUAGGCCUGAAGCUAAGCAUGCAUUAACAUACUUUUUUUCUGAACUAAAGCUGAUAAAUCUACCAAAAAUGGUUAAUUUCCAACAUUUGGAUAUAUUUACUGCAUUGAUAAACCUAAGAUAGUGUUCAUAACUUAAAUAUCUGAUAGCUACCAGGCCUGAUGAUGUUCUGCAACUUUCUAUUUGCAAAUGAGAAGAGAAUGUGAUUCUAUUUGUGCAGCAUUUAUGCAAUAGCCAGUUUAAUACAGAUUUAAUGCGAAGCUGCCUGAAGAACUUUGCCAUUUGUUAUUCAUCAUUCUUUAGCUUAAAAUAUGGGAAUAAGAACCAUACCUUAUAAAUUCAGUUAUCUGUCAGAUGCAUGGAGCAGUCAAUUAAUCAUGUUAAAACACUCAUUAAAAAGGAUCGAGUUCUUAACUCUGUGAAGAUCCAAUUUGAAUAAGCAAAUCUUUAACACAGUUUUGAAGGGAUAUGUCUUGUUUUCAUGUUUUUAUAUUUCUGAAAGGCAUUUCUACUCUGUGAAUGUAAAGCUUCUUUCUUUCCCCACUCAGAAUAAACAUUGCUGCACAAGUGCAGAGACAAUCAAGUCAUCUGUAGAGUAUCAGGGAAAAUUGCCCCUUCCCUUCAGGGUAAUCCAUCAGGGUAUUUGGUCUAUGGGAUUGACUGUCCAAAUGGCUAAGGGCUGCCUGGAAGAUACUGAGUACUUCAAUGCUCAUUGAAGCAUAUGGGCCUCAGUCUCCAUUACCUUAAUGCUGUUAGAUUUGAAUGCAUCUUUAAAGUGAGGAGAGCUGCUCUCUUUAAAGCAACUUUAAAGAAAGCUUGUACACUAUGAGAAGAUGGAGUGUUUAGCACCCUUUAAAGUUGGCUUCAAUGCCAUUUUCUUUUUCUGAUUGUCACUUCAUCCUGGAAAUAAGUUAAUGCAGUUCCACAUGGAGAUGAAUUUAUAGAUUUAUAAAUCUAUAAAGAAAAUUGCAGAAGGGCCAGGAGCUUCAGAGAUCAGUAGAAUCACAGCAGUGCUCCACAGCAUGGUGCAGCAGCGGGUGCCAUCACACGCAAUCCAAUUUCUUUGGAAAGAUGAUGGAAGACAGGUUUUAUCACAUGCAUGGCAUUUUACUUCUCAAAUGCAAAUAUGGAUCUCCAUAAUUUACAGCUUAGGUUUCUUUUAAAGUCUAUUUUUUAUUCUCUCUCUCUCUGCACAGUUGUGCAGAUAUGCUGCCUGGGUAAUUGCAAGAGUGGAGCUUUUGUUUGGAAGAGGGAUCUAGAGUGAGGCUUGCCAUAACUUGACACACUGUGAUCAUUUCACCAAUUUCCAUUUCCAGCUGUCACAUGUAGAAUUAUGUUCUCCACAUACAUAAAAAGUCAGAAACCUUGCAUUGGGGUUGUCUAUUUUCACUCACAGCAAGGAUGGGCAAAUUUGUUCAGACAUACCUGGAAGUGUUUAUUGCAAAAAAAGCAGUCAGCAGUCAGCUCUGCAUAUGGCUAGUUGGAAGGCAAAAUUUCACCUGGUCCUUCUACUAGAAUUGCUUGGGGACACCUCAUAAAUCAGAGGUAAGACAAGAGCUAUGUGCCUUGGAUGGAUCCAACGUGUUUUAGCCAUAGGCUGGGACUAGAAAUCUGAAGGAAAUAGCACAAAGUGCUCUCAGAAAAAAAAGAUUAUGAUCUCAGAAAAUUAAGUAAUUAGAAACAUAAUACAAAAUCUGUUCUUGUGAUUUUUCCAAGGGAUUUCUUAGAACAAAGCGUUUUGAAAGCAUUAAAACAGAGGAAUUAUAUUGUAAAUAAAUGGGAAGAAUUGUUGUCUAAGAAACAGAGAAUUGCUUCCUUGGCUUUCUUUGUAGCCUAGAACAAAUUAUCUGGGGCUUAAUUUUCUUUUGGUAAAGCUGUUCCUCUCCUACAGUCAAAAUAAUCUAUCUUCCUGGAUAUAAGUAUUGUGAGGAGGUUUAAUGUGCAUCUCUUCACUGAUAUCUUCACUGCUAUCACUGAAAUCCACCUUUUCUGUAGAAUCAUGUACCCUCCUGAUAUGAGUCUUUUGUUCAAAAAGGAGGAUGCUAUUCAUGGAACAUACAGCUCUCAGAAAUAGCACUGUGGAGUAAAAGCUGACCUUGAAAACCCAAGGACAUUUACAGCUUCCAGUAAUGAGACAAUACAUGACAGAUGAAGGGAGUAUCUGAGAAAAUGGCAGAAUGGUGGAGGAUGGUUCAUUUGCUGUCUCUGUGGAGCAUUUGUUGAGGUCAGCAACUCAGUUGAGUUCUGGGGAAGAGGGGGGUGUGAAGGAAUUCAGAAGCCUGUUGGCACUUACUGUGCCUGAAGAGAAGCCAUUUUCUAUUUGCCAGGGGCUGGAGUCCAGUUGAAAAUAAAAUUGCUGAUAAAAGGAAGCAUUAAUUUACCUUCCUAGACCAUCCACUUGCUGGUGCAGCAUUGUUCUCAAAAAAUAGACCAAUUUCUGCAUUUUGCCAUGGCAUAAUUUUGGAGCUCGAAUGAUUUUGCUUUUCAAGGAAUUACCUGUAGGAAAAAAACUUUCAACCUUCUGACACAGCCAAAUUUACUCUGACUAUUAUAUAACUUUUUUAGACUUAUUCACUCAGUGUACUGCUGUUUUGGCUGCUGAUAACACGUAGUAUCCAUAGACACAGACACAAUGACCCCAGGCACUGAGCAGCUGUGGAGCUGAGCAGCCAGCAGCCAGCCCUUGGCUAACCCUUGCCUACAGCACACAGGUCAGUCCAACAGCAAGAGUACACCGAGUUUUCCCUCACCCGCUGCCCUUAUUCUUCCCUCGAGGGCCAUCAUCAAUACAGACCUGAUGCACUGUGAUCUGAGCAGCAGCAAAGAAAUUUGCCUUCUACUUUUUCCCCUUUCAGGCACAGUUUUUGUCUUAGUAAUUCAGCUACGUCGUAUGCUGUCCUAUUACUGAUUUCAGGCGCAGCCAUGGAGAGGCAGAGGAACCCCUUUCAUUGAUGUUGCAGGAGUGUAGCUUCAGGAUGCCUGGGAGGGCAGCCAGGGUGCUUCAGUGUGUCCAAGAAAACCUUGAAGGAUUAAGCCUUGUGGUAUCUCUGUGCAUGGUGUGGGGAUUGAAUCCAUAUGAUCUUUAAGGUCCCUUCCAACCCAAACCAUUCUAUGAUUCUAUGAUUCUGUGAUUCUGUGAUUCUGUGAUUCUGUGAUUCUGUGAUUCUGUGAUUAGAGUGACAGACAGGGCUCCUGUUGAGGGCCCUGAGUCCCUGCUCUCUGCUGCCUUUGUGUCCCAGACCUCAAAGCAACAGCUGAGUAAAACCCAACAUCUCUCCCAUGGAGCUGAGAAAGCUUAACACUUCUUUGGGACACAUGGUGGUUUGCAAUGCAGUAGAGACACACGAAUUCAUGUAUUUCUGAAAAGAUUAAGCUGGCUGUGAUUGUAUAUCACUUGUCAACUAUAUUUUAAGGGGGGGGCGGGGGGGGGCUGAUGACUUUCCAUGUCCAUGUCCCUGACAGGCAGACCCCAAUGGGAUCUGAACUGAUCCAGGAGGAACACACACAAGCUCAGCUGUCAUUGUACUCCAUAUCCUAUUACCAUGUCCAGCAUUAUCUGCUAUCUGCCUUCCCCUCCACCUCAUGUAUUCAAGAAGAUAACUCGGCACUGCUGGAAUAAAUAUAGCACACAACUCUCCUGUCAGGGUGCUUACUUCAUUAGGCAAAGGAAAAAAAAAAAAAUCCUCAUAGUUCUUCUCCUUGUAGUUUUUCCUGAAAGGCACUAUUUUAUUCCUGCUGGAGGCCCUGUAUGUGUAGUCAGCCAUAGCAUGUAUUGUCUAAACCACUAUUUGAGCUCUCUGUAAGUAACCCUUUCAGCAACAUUACUUAUUUUGGAAGAAGAAACAAAUGAUACCAUAAGGACUGAGAUCUGAAUUUUCAGACAUUUUAAAAACAACUUUUGCAGUUCUUGUAUUGGAUUAUGUUUCAGUGAGCUACUCAGUGCUGGGUUAACAGUUGAACUUUAUAAUCUUAAAAGUAUUUUCCAGAAGAAACAAUGUUUUGAUUCUAAGAAUGGUACAUUGUCCUUCCAUACAUGCUUAGAUCAGAAGAGAGUCACUUGGUCUUGGACUGAGUCAGCCAAAAGUGAAUUUUGGAAGCAAUGGGAUUUUGCAGUCAGGCAACAACCUCAGUUAUUGGUAGAUGUUUUUGUUUCCUGUCAGAACACAUCUAGGCAAGCUGCAGAAGGGGCGAUCCUUGCCUGCAAUUUCUGAUGCCUCUGAUCACCAUUCCCUGCAUGUCAGAACCACAUGGCCACUAUGGAAUGCAAUGGGCUCUGUACACUUGGACCCCAUCCCCCCCAUUCCUACCCUCAGGGGAGCAAGGAUAAAAGGCCCUUCUUAAACCUGGAGGAUGGCUUUGCUGCUGUACACUGCUGUGGGUGUACAUCACAAGGAAAACCUUUGCAAGAGCAGUUUAUUUUGAAUAUUUCAAAUUUUAACAGAGUUUAAAUGGACACUGCAUCUCAGUCAUGUGAUCUCCUUUUUGUUUCUUUAUUUAGAAAAAGUAAGCCUGAAUUAUUUAUUUUGUUUUUUUUGUUUUAAAUAAUUUGUAUUCCAGUUUCCCACCAGAAACACAGACACAGUCUACUCUCUUUUCCCCAGAGGACUCUAUGGAUAACCAAAAGCCACAAGUUUUUAUCAUCAGAAGAACAAAAGCAAUGCAAAGUGCAAAGUGAGAAAGA
rnacentral:lncRNA from 1 species